rnacentral:antisense_RNA from 1 species
GGCUUCCCUGCUCAGAGGCAGGGAAUUGUGCAGCUGGAGUUUCAUUUUCCAAGCUGCAGCUGUGGGUGAUUCGGAUGGUCUGUUGGUGGAAUGUGGAGCUGGAUGGGUCAAGGAGCAAGUGUGGACAGAGGGACAAUUUGCUACGAGUUGGAGAUAAGAGACAUGGCAUACUGUGAAACCAGUGCUGACAGAAGAAGGUGACUUUCUUGGAAGGUCAAGACACUUGCUUGUCACCGACGUCUAGGAGGGCUAGGGAGAGUUCUGCUGGAAGUGAAGGCAGCACCUGAGGGUGGCUGAGGGAACUGGUCAGGGCUGGGAACGCCUCCAGCCCUUUGAGGAAUGAUUCGGUGAUUAAGAGAUGUUUGGCCUUGAAAAUUGCAAGAAUGAAAUCUCUUGGUGGGAAUGUGUAGCCGAAAGCCAGCACCCUGAGUGGCUCCAAGGUUUGGGGACCCUCUCAAGGCACAAAUCCCAGUUCCUUUUCAAUUUUGAAAAUCAUUGUGGGCGAUUCUGCAAUUCAGAAGUGUGCUGAGAGCCACGGAUUUAACAUGACAAGAAUUUCCACCCCUUCCUCACUGAGCCCACCGCACAUGCUCCAGGGCCAGGGACUUCCUUGGGCUUCUGCGUGUCUUCCACAGUGUGCAUCAAUCCGCCGGGCUCUGGUUGGUGUUUAAAAAAAAAGAUGCAGUGAAGGAAUCUGGUGUGGACAAACGCCCUGGGCAUGGACCAAAAUCCUGGCCCCCGUGUCCCUGGCAAUGGGACAGUGAAGGACAGAAAGACAGCACAUCCAGUAGUGUCAGGAGCUUGGAGCAGGCAUUCGGAAGCAUCUGUUAAAUGUUAUUGAUGGAGGAUUGACAUAACCCACAUCUGCAUAGCUUUUUUGGUCUGUUUUUGG